ensembl:lncRNA
GUCAGAGGAGCUGUGGGCUGGAAAAUGGGCGGGAGCCGAGCAGGGGUGUGUUUUCUGCAGCUGCUCUUAAGCACGCCGCUCUCAAGGAUUCUAUUGUGGGUAUCUUACCAUUGUUAGGCAGUUUGAGAUCCUAUGAACUGCUGUUUAUAGUGUUCUCUUCAUUUAUCCUUCAUUUACUGGAAUAUUCAGUCAUAAAAUAACUGGUAAAAAAAUGUAGAGUAGUUGCAUUAUCUGCUGUUUGCCAUUGUGUUAGUAAUAAAGCUCCUGGAACGUUAAUUCAUUCAUGCUUUCUAACUCCCUUCUUUUAUUAACUGCUUAUUCAAGAGAAUGCCUUUGGCUCCGGGUCUCCCACUGCCCAGACAGAUCUACUCACCUGAGAAUCAGAACUAUGAGCCCUGGAUGGUGAAGACAGGGUACGGUUGCCAAGGAUCCAGUAUGUCAGUGUUCAUCAAACCUUAUCUUGAAAAAACCAACCAUCAACAUCAUCAUCGUCAUCAUCAUCUUUGUCGUCAUCAUCAUCAUCACCACCACCUCUUUGUAGUGCCAAGUAGGAGCAAGGAACUGAAGUUGACUUUAUUGUUUUUUAUUUUAAUUUUUACUUUUGUAAAAAUGAUUCAUUUUAUAUAUAGAACUACUCUCUCUCUCUCUACACGUACAUCUGCAUAACUGCAUGCCAGAAGAGGACAUCAGAUCACAUUGUGCGGGGUUAUGAUUCACUAUGUAGUUGCUGGGAAUUGAACUCUGG